rnacentral:lncRNA from 1 species
AAGCAUCAGGGCCUCCGCAUUGCAGGACUGCAUGUUCCCCAGGUUAUCGCAUGCGCACACACGGAUCGUGAGUGUGCCAGUGCUGCUUUGAAUAGGAUAAUCAUUGUCGAAGAUUAAAACCGGCAGUAGAUCAUUCUCAAAUAUUCAACUAAAAAUUAGGAAGAUAUAUACAAACAAGAGCAUCUUACAGAGCAUCCUCUGAUACUUUGUCUGCUAAUCCCCAGCUCGGCGUUCUCCCCCAUGUCUGGGUCAUUGGCUUUUAUCCUUCCAAGAUGAGUUCCAAGAGGUGCCGACUCCAGAGAAUUAAACUGAUAAGUGCCUGCAAGGUAAACCAUAGCUUCCUUCACUUUCAACUUAGGAUGACACAAGUUUUCUAUUUCCCUCUAAGUAAAGUGAUCUAAAUUGAGAGACAUUUUCAUCAUAUUGAAUUGUAUGCUGCCAAAGGUAUAGAUUGGUGGAGUGGAAGAAUAAUGCAUAAAAGAUAAAUUUUCUGUUUGUAUAUGAGAAAUUUAAGUUCCAGAAAGAUUAGAGAACGUCUCAUGUUAUUUAAGGAGCACACAAAAGCCUGGGAUAGGAAUGCAAACCAUCAGGUAUACCAACCAUAAUAACCAAUUGCUUGUUACUUGAUUAUGAUUUUUGAUAUUUUAAUCACACAUUUUAUCCACACUUAAAUAAUAGUUACAGUGAGAUUUUUCUAUUAAUGAAGUUUCCAUUAUUUGAAAUAUUAUACCUUCAUUCUUUUAUUCUAAGUUCUAGAAAAGUAAUUUUCAAGCAGUAAUGUCUUUAUUAGAGUUGUUUCUGCUCAAAUAUUUUAACUUUAAUGUCUUUGAGUAGCAUAUUUUCCAUGUUUAAUACAAAUCAGGACAUACAUCACAGUUUGUUCUUCUGUUUUGACAAGCAUCUCAUUUACAAGUUCUCUAUAAAUGUGUAAAUAUGAAAAUUGAAAAUAAUUAAAGAAAUAUACUUAAAAGU